UUGGAUGACUCUUUCUGGGAAAUCGAGUUCACUCCCAACCCCAAUGUGAACGUUACCAAUCUGUUGCCUCGGCGGGAUUCUCUUGCCCCGGGCGCGUCGCAGCCCCGGAUCCCAUGGCGCCCGCCGGAGGACCAACUCCAAACUCUUUUUUCUCUCCGUCGCGGCUCCCGUCGCGGCUCUGUUUUAUUUUUGCUCUGAGCCUUUCUCGGCGACCCUAGCGGGCGUCUCGAAAAUGAAUCAAAACUUUCAACAACGGAUCUCUUGGUUCUGGCAUCGAUGAAGAACGCAGCGAAAUGCGAUAAGUAAUGUGAAUUGCAGAAUUCAGUGAAUCAUCGAAUCUUUGAACGCACAUUGCGCCCGCCAGUAUUCUGGCGGGCAUGCCUGUCCGAGCGUCAUUUCAACCCUCGAACCCCUCCGGGGGGUCGGCGUUGGGGAUCGGCCCCUCACCGGGCCGCCCCCGAAAUACAGUGGCGGUCUCGCCGCAGCCUCUCCUGCGCAGUAGUUUGCACACUCGCACCGGGAGCGCGGCGCGGCCACAGCCGUAAAACACCCCAAACUUCUGAAAUGUUGACCUCGGAUCAGGUAGGAAUACCCGCUGAACUUAAGCAUAUCAAUAAAGGGGAAGGAAAUUCCGAGUUUACAACUCCCAAACCCCAAUGUGAGCUUUACAAUCUGUUGCCUCGGCAGGAUUUUUUGCCCCGGGCGCGUUGCACCCGGAUCGAGGGCGCCGCCGGAAGACACUCAAACUCUUUUUAUCUCCUGCGACUCCGUGCGGUCUAUUUUAUUUUUGUUUAGCUUUUCGGCGACCUAGGGGGGUCUGAGAUGAAUAAAAAUUUUAUCAAUGUACUUUGGGUGCUGGUUCAUUAAAGUAACAGGAAAGGCAUUA
rnacentral:rRNA from 1 species